UCAAGUGAUUAAGGGUUGACGGUGGAUGCCUUGGCUGAUGGCCGCGAUGAAGGACGUGGUAAGCUGCGAAAAGUCUCGGGGAGUUGCACGCGAACAUUGAUCCGGGAAUGUCCGAAUGGGGAAACCCUCUUUGGUGAAAGCCAAAGAAUCUCUCAGCUGAAUUCAUAGGCUUUGAGAAGCGAACGUGGGGAAGUGAACCAUCUCAGUACCCACAGGAAGAGAAAACAAUUGUGAUUCCGGAAGUAGCGGCGAGCGAACCCGGAAGAGCCCAAACCUUUUACGUGUAAGCUUGCAGGCGUUGCGUAGAGGGGGUCGUGGGAGCCACAUGUCAGGUCUGCUUACCUGGCGCAGAGUUACAAAAUUGCAUGUUAGCGGAACGGUCUGGAAAGUCCGGCGAGACAGGGUGAUAGCCCCGUAUGCGAAAACAUGGCAGUCUCUGAGUGGAGUUCCCAAGUACAGCGGGGCACGAGAAACCUUGCUGGAAUUUGCCGCGACCAUGCGGUAAGGCUAAAUAGGUCCAUCAGACCGAUAGUGAACCAGUACCGUGAGGGAAAGGCGAAAAGAACCCCGAUGAGGGGAGUGAAAUAGAACCUGAAACCGUCAAUCUACAAGCAGUGGAACCACUAAGGUUUACCAGUGGAACCGCGUGCCUUUUGCAUAAUGAGCCGGCUAGUUAUUUUCAGUGGCGAGGCGAAGUCGAAGAGACGAAGCCGUAGGGAAACCGAGUCUGAAUAGGGCGACAGUCGCUGGGAAUAGACGCGAAACGGGAUGAUCUAUCCUUGGGCAGGAUGAAGCUACGGUGAAACGUAGUGGAGGUCCGAACCAGUGUGGGUUGAAAACCGCUUGGAUGACCUGAGGAUAGGGGUGAAAGGCCAAUCAAAUUCCGUGAUAGCUCGUUCUCCCCGAAAUAGCUUUAGGGCUAGCGUCGGAUGUUUCGUCGUGCAGGUAGAGACCUGAAUGGACUAGGGGGCUUACCAGCUUACUGAAUCCAACCAAUCUUCGAAUGGCACGCCGUGAAGUCCGGCAGUCAGACUGCGGGUGAUAAGAUCCGUAGUCGAGAGGGAAAGAACCCAGAUCGCCAGCUAAGGUCCCAAAAUAUCAGCUAAGUGGAAAAGGAUGUGGAUGUGCUUAGACAGCCAGGAGGUUAGCUUAGAAGCAGCUAUCCUUUAAAGAAAGCGUAAUAGCUCACUGGUCAAGCGGGUCUGUGCCGACAAUUCAACGGGGCUAAGCUGAUUACCGAAGCUGCGAACGUAUACGUGGUAGGGGAGCAUUCCCUACGUCUGCGAAGGUUGACCGUAAGGACAGCUGGAGACAUGGGAAGAGACUCUGUCGGCAUAAGUAGCGAAAAGACGGGUGAGAACCCCGUCCGCCGUAAGACUAAGGUUUCCAACGCAAGGUCAAUCCGCGUUGGGUUAGUCGGUCCCUAAGCUGAGGCCGAGAGGCGUAAGCGAUGGAAAGCUGGUUAAUAUUCCCGCACCAUGAAUAGGUCGUUUGUACGAUGCAGGGACGCAGGAAGGUAGGGACGCAGGGCUAUGGAAUGUCCUGUGAAAGGUUUCAAGGGUGUGAGCCAGGGAAGUCCGGUUCACAUGAGCUCAAGAAAUCUGACGAAAAGUCCUGAUCCUACACUGCCGAGAAAAGCUGCUAAGGAGAUCUAUUUGUGACCGUACCGCAAACCGACACAGGUAGUCGAGGAGAGAAUCCUCAGGCGUUUGAGAGAACUCUGCUGAAGGAACUCGGCAAAUUAACCCCGUAACUUCGGGAGAAGGGGUACCCCGGUAGGGUUCAUAGCCCGAGGGGGUGGCACAUAAAUGUUCCAGGCGACUGUUUAACAAAAACACAGGUCUCUGCAAACUCCAAAGAGGAGGUAUAGGGGCUGACGCCUGCCCGGUGCCGGAAGGUCAAGAGGAGCGGUUAGCGCAAGCGAAGCUGCGAAUUUAAGCCCCGGUGAACGGCGGCCGUAACUAUAACGGUCCUAAGGUAGCGAAAUUCCUUGUCGGG
rnacentral:rRNA from 1 species